AUGCUUAAAAUUGAUCUUGCCAAAGCUUUCGAUCGCCUAGAAUGGGACUUUAUUGUUUCUGCGCUUGCACGUAAAGGGUUGCAUGGUCAUUUCAUUAAUUUAGUUCAUGCAUGCAUCUCUUCUCCCACGUUCUCUGUGCUAAUCAAUGGGCAACCUUCUCAUAAGUUCAAUAGUUUGGGGAUUAGGCAGGGUUGUCCCAUGUCUCCUUACUUAUUUGUCAUUGCCAUUAAUGAACUUUCGAUAGCGCUUAAUGAGGCUCUCCAGGCUAACCAUUUGUAGGGUAUUUCUCUUGGUCCAAAUUGUCCCUCUGUUCAUUCUCUUCUCUUUGCAGAUGACUUAUUGCUUUGUGGACAGGCUACUCGUCAAGAAGCUCAGACUAUGGCUAAUCUUUCAUCAAUUUUGUGAGCUCUCUGGUCAAACUCCCAAUUGGGGCAAAUCUGCAAUCCUUUUUAG
rnacentral:rRNA from 1 species